GAAUGAUUGUUACUUACGUUGGCCCACCUUUAAAACCCUUUCCAGUAUGUAAACUUAGACUGUAGCCAAACAGUGAACCAUCCUCGCCUUCUUUAAUGACAUGGUUGUUUGUUUUCACAUCGAUGUUAUAAGCUGAACAACAUGCCAGGAACGAAAAUAAGACGAGUGCCUUGCUACCAGACAUUCGUAUACUUUCAAAAACAGUGAAAAAUACACCAGAAAAGUAAAUUUUAACAAUUUUGGCACAACUUGUAUCUUUUAAUAAGAUGUGAUCGAGU